UGGGGAAUAUUGGACAAUGGGGGGAACCCUGAUCCAGCCAUGCCGCGUGUGUGAAGAAGGCCUUAUGGUUGUAAAGCACUUUUAAGCGAGGAGGAGGCUACUAGUAUUAAUACUACUGGAUAGUGGACGUUACUCGCAGAAUAAGCACCGGCUAACUCUGUGCCAGCAGCCGCGGUAAUACAGAGGGUGCGAGCGUUAAUCGGAUUUACUGGGCGUAAAGCGUGCGUAGGCGGCCAUUUAAGUCAAAGUGAAAUCCCCGAGCUUAACUUGGGAAUUGCAUUCGAUACUGGAUGGCNAGAGUAUGGGAGAGGAUGGUAGAAUUCCAGGUGUAGCGGUGAAAUGCGUAGAGAUCUGGAGGAAUACCGAUGGCGAAGGCAGCCAUCUGGCCUAAUACUGACGCUGAGGUACGAAAGCAUGGGGAGCAAACAGGAUUAGAUACCCUGGUAGUCCAUGCCGUAAACGAUGUCUACUAGCCGUUGGGGCCUUUGAGGCUUUAGUGGCGCAGCUAACGCGAUAAGUAGACCGCCUGGGGAGUACGGUCGCAAGACU
rnacentral:rRNA from 1 species